GGAUCAAUGAUAACUCCCUAAAAAAAAAAAAAAAAAUUCCUUGAAAAACUGAACAAAAUGAGUGAGAACUAUACCCUUCUCGUUCUCAUCGGUAACUGAGCUAC